GUGCUCGUUUCAGCAGCACAUAUACUAAAAUUGGAAUUAUACAGAGAAGAUUAGCAUGGCCCCUGCGCAAGGAUGACACGCAAUUUGUGAACUGUUCCAUAUUUCA
rnacentral:snRNA from 1 species